GACGUAGGGCGCGAGCGUUGUCCGGAUUUAUUGGGCGUAAAGAGCUCGUAGGCGGCUUGUCGCGUCGGCUGUGAAAACCCGUGGCUCAACUGUGGGCGGGCAGCUGAUACGGGCAGGCUGGAGUUCGGUAGGGGAGACUGGAAUUCCUGGUGUAGCGGUGAAAUGCGUAGAUAUCAGGAGGAACACCGGUGGCGAAGGCGGCUAUCUGGACAGAAACUGACGCUGAGGCGCGAAAGCUAGGGGAGCAAACAGG
rnacentral:rRNA from 1 species